GACGAGGAGCUUGCUCCUCUGACGUUAGCGGCGGACGGGUGAGUAACACGUGGAUAACCUACCUAUAAGACUGGGAUAACUUCGGGAAACCGGAGCUAAUACCGGAUAAUAUAUUGAACCGCAUGGUUCAAUAGUGAAAGACGGUUUUGCUGUCACUUAUAGAUGGAUCCGCGCCGCAUUAGCUAGUUGGUAAGGUAACGGCUUACCAAGGCAACGAUGCGUAGCCGACCUGAGAGGGUGAUCGGCCACACUGGAACUGAGACACGGUCCAGACUCCUACGGGAGGCAGCAGUAGGGAAUCUUCCGCAAUGGGCGAAAGCCUGACGGAGCAACGCCGCGUGAGUGAUGAAGGUCUUCGGAUCGUAAAACUCUGUUAUUAGGGAAGAACAAAUGUGUAAGUAACUAUGCACGUCUUGACGGUACCUAAUCAGAAAGCCACGGCUAACUACGUGCCAGCAGCCGCGGUAAUACGUAGGUGGCAAGCGUUAUCCGGAAUUAUUGGGCGUAAAGCGCGCGUAGGCGGUUUUUUAAGUCUGAUGUGAAANNCCACGGCUCAACCGUNNNGNGUCAUUGGAAACUGGAAAACUUG
rnacentral:rRNA from 1 species